GAACUGCGAUAAGUAGUGUGAAUUGCAGAAUUCAGUGAAUCAUCAAACUCUUGAACGCACAUGGCGCCCUGUGGCAACGCAGGGCACGCCUGUUUGAGCCUCGGUAUUCAACCUCGUACCUACCACCUAGUGUGGCGUACGGAUCAUGGGGAUUGUGCUCGCCACAUUCCCUCAAAUGCAGCUGCUUGGCGCAGCGGGAUACGGACCAGAGCCGUUCCGGUCACCCAGUUUAUGAUGGCACAUCGCCUCUCUCUACUGGCCCGGGCCGUUACUCUUUCCCUCCCUCUUCACUACCAGGCACGAAGUGUUCGCCUCUAACGAGGCACACCCCUUCAAACUUCGAGCUCAAAUCAGGCGAGACUACCCGCUGAAUUUAA
rnacentral:misc_RNA from 1 species